UACGAAGGGGGCUAGCGUUGCUCGGAAUCACUGGGCGUAAAGGGUGCGUAGGCGGGUCUUUAAGUCGGGGGUGAAAUCCUGGAGCUCAACUCCAGAACUGCCUUCGAUACUGGAAAGCUCGAGUCCGGGAGAGGUGAGUGGAACUGCGAGUGUAGAGGUGAAAUUCGUAGAUAUUCGCAAGAACACCAGUGGCGAAGGCGGCUCACUGGCCCGAUACUGACGCUGAUGCACGAAAGCGUGGGGAGCAAACAGG
rnacentral:rRNA from 1 species